UGGCGGCCAUAGCGUACGGGUACCACCCGAUCCCAUCUCGAACUCGGAAGUGAAAACGUUCAGCGCCGAUGAUAGUGCGGGGUCUCCCUGUGUGAAAGUAGGUCACUGCCAG
rnacentral:rRNA from 1 species